GAGGGAAAGUUGAAAAAGGACCUCUGAAUAGAGAGUUAACCAGUACGUGAAACUGCCUUAGAGGUUAAGCCCGAUGAACCUGAAUAUCCCGUUAUGGAAAAUUCAUCAUUAAAGUUGUAAUAUUUUUUUUCAUUUUCAUUUUUCCCAUAUAAGGACAUUGUAAUCUAUUUAGCAUAUAACAAAUUUAUCAUAAAAUAUGACUUAUAGUUUAUUCAAAUUAUUAUGCUUGCAUUUUAACAUAGAAUAAAUGUCAUUAAUUUCGAUAAAGUGUUGAUAAAUUAAAAUUAAUACAGUGCGUUAAUUUUUCGAAAUUAUAUAAUGGCAUAAUUAUCAUUGAUUUUUGUGUUUAUUAUAUGCAUUUGUAUGAUUAACAAUGCGAAAGAUUCAGGAUACCUUCGGGACCCGUCUUGAAACACGGACCAAGGAGUCUAACAUAUGUGCAAGUUAUUGGGAGAUAAACCUAAUAGCGUAAUUAACUUGACUAAUAAUGGGAUUAGUUUUUUAACUAUUUAUAGAUAAUUAACACAAUCCCGGGGUGUUCUAUAUAGUUAUGUAUUAUAAUAAUAUAUUUAUAAUAAUAAUAUAUUUAUAUUAUUUAUGCCUCUAACUGGAACGUACCUUGAGCAUAUAUGCUAUGACCCGAAAGAUGGUGAACUAUACUUGAUCAGGUUGAAGUCAGGGGAAACCCUGAUGGAAGACCGAAACAGUUCUGACGUGCAAAUCGAUUGUCAGAAUUGAGUAUAGGGGCGAAAGACCAAUCGAACCGAGGCCUUAGGGUCGAAACGAUCUUAACCUAUUCUCAAACUUUAAAUGGGUAAGAACCUUAACUUUCUUGAUAUGAAGUUUAAGGUUAUGAUAUAAUGUGCCCAGUGGGCCACUUUUGGUAAGCAGAACUGGCGCUGUGGGAUGAACCAAACGUAAUGUUACGGUGCCCAAAUUAACAACUCAUGCAGAAACCAUGAAAGGCGUUGGUUGCUUAAAACACCAGGACGGUGAUCAUGGAAGUCGAAAUCCGCUAAG
rnacentral:ncRNA from 1 species